UGAACAGGACUAACGGUUGCUUCGUCAAUAUAGAGAAUACUAUCCGGAUGCUGUUAGGUCGCAGAUAGUUAAAAAAUUUGUUUCGUCGAGCUGUAACUUGAUCUUGUCACCCAAACUAUACGUGACAAUUCCCUUAUCGCCCGCACUCUUCUCAAAAAAGUCAAUCGGUAUUCAAUAAAAAUUCAUCAACGCAGCAGCAUCCAGUGAAACAAAACAAUAGAAGGUCAAACAUAACAUGAAAAUAACUAGUAAUGGGUGUUAACUACUGUUGUAUUCACAAUUUAAUUCAAAGAAUAUUAUUAGAUCAUUUUUGAACUCCAAGCAGUUAGUGUGAAUUAAAAAUAUCGAUGAUCAUGGUGAAAUUUACAUUUGCUGUUUCCCUAGGUUUUUGUGCUAUGGUUUGUGCACUCAGUCGAGAACUCCACCCUAUUGAACCACUUUCAGGAAAAUGUUUCGACAGCUACAUAGAUGAACAACCUAUUGACCUAAGCAACCUAGCGAAAGCUUGUGUUGAGAGGCUACCAACAAAAAAAUUAUGCUAUGGUCUGCAGUUAAUCACGAAUGAAAUUAUAAUAGUGCAUUGUGAAAACGAUGGUCAACAAUUAGAAAAAGGGUGCUACCGUUUCUUCAACAAGGAUUUGAAUCAAAGUGUUGUUUGUCAGAAAUACGUUCAGAGGAAUAUGUGUGAGAUAUUAAAAACUCCUGGGAAUUUGGCUAUUGAGGUAUAUUGCGACCGAAGUGAACCAGGAAUUAUUAUGGUUAAAAAACUAAUGAUACGUGAUUGAAGAUUUUUAUAUAUAUUCAAUCAUUCAACUAAAAUAUUGCAAAACAAAUAUUUUUUGGAAGAAAGAACUUCAACGAACUAUAUGUUUUACAAAAAAGUAUGAGAGAUCAUUCAAGAGUUAUAUUGAAUUUGAAAGUGUAGGUCUAUAUGUGUAUUUCUAAGUGUAUUUCAAAUUUUAUCGAUUACUGAAUUUUCUCACAUUCAUAUUCAAAUUUCAUAUAAAUGCUUAAUGAAAAUAUAUUUAUUAUAUCAUGA